rnacentral:tRNA from 1 species
GGAAGCGUUUCGUCACCGGUGUGGCGCCCGGACUUCAAAUCCGGUGUGCGGUCGCGAGGUCGCAGGUAGGUUCGACUCCUAUACGCUUCCGCCA